AAUUUUGGACAAUGGGGGAAACCCUGAUCCAGCCAUCCCGCGUGUAGGAUGAAGGCCUUCGGGUUGUAAAGUACUUUUGGCAGAGAAGAAAAGGUAUCUCCUAAUACGAGAUACUGCUGACGGUAUCUGCAGAAUAAGCACCGGCUAACUACGUGCCAGCAGCAGCGGUAAUACGUAGGGUGCAAGCGUUAAUCGGAAUUACUGGGCGUAAAGAGGGUGUAGGCGGUUCGGAAAGAAAGAUGUGGAAAACCAGGGCUCAAACUUGGAAAUGCAUUUUUAACUGCCGGGCUAGAGUAUGUCAGAGGGGGGUAGAAUUCCACGUGUAGCAGUGAAAUGCGUAGAUAUGUGGAGGAAUACCGAUGGCGAAGGCAGCCCCCUGGGAUAAUACUGACGCUCAGACACGAAAGCGUGGGGAGCAAACA
rnacentral:rRNA from 1 species